rnacentral:rRNA from 1 species
GACGAACGCUGGCGGCGUGCCUAAUACAUGCAAGUAGAACGCACAGUUUAUACCGUAGCUUGCUACACCAUAGACUGUGAGUUGCGAACGGGUGAGUAACGCGUAGGUAACCUGCCUGGUAGCGGGGGAUAACUAUUGGAAACGAUAGCUAAUACCGCAUAAUAUUGAUUAUUGCAUGAUAAUUGAUUGAAAGAUGCUAUUGCAUCACUACCAGAUGGACCUGCGUUGUAUUAGCUAGUAGGUGAGGUAACGGCUCACCUAGGCGACGAUACAUAGCCGACCUGAGAGGGUGAGCAGCCACACUGGGACUGAGACAAGGCCCAGACUCCUACGGGAGGCAGCAGUAGGGAAUCUUCGGCAAUGGACGAAAGUCUGACCGAGCAACGCCGCGUGAGUGAAGAAGGUUUUCGGAUCGUAAAGCUCUGUUGUAAGAGAAGAACGGGUGUGAGAGUGGAAAGUUCACACUGUGACGGUAUCUUACCAGAAAGGGACGGCUAACUACGUG